rnacentral:rRNA from 1 species
GUUCGAGAAGCGGAGAUUGCGAUGUUGAAUGUUUUCGGAUGUUCUUUAUUGCGAGAACCGCGUUAAUCGAAUCGGCUUGAACCGGGCAAAAGUCGUAACAAGGUUUCCGUAGGUGAACCUGCGGAAGGAUCAUUAUUGAGCUAAUUUCUUCCAUUUUAAUCAGGUCUUUGCU